GUGGAUUAGAUACCCUGGUAGUCCACGCUGUAAACGAUGUCGACUUGGAGGUUGUGCCCUUGAGGCGUGGCUUCCGGAGCUAACGCGUUAAGUCGACCGCCUGGGGAGUACGGCCGCAAGGUUAAAACUCAAAUGAAUUGACGGGGGCCCGCACAAGCGGUGGAGCAUGUGGUUUAAUUCGAUGCAACGCGAAGAACCUUACCUACUCUUGACAUCCACGGAAUUUGGUAGAGAUACCUUAGUGCCUUCGGGAACCGUGAGACAGGUGCUGCAUGGCUGUCGUCAACU
rnacentral:rRNA from 1 species